UACGUAGGGUGCAAGCGUUGUCCGGAAUUAUUGGGCGUAAAGAGCUCGUAGGCGGUUUGUCGCGUCUGCUGUGAAAAUCCAGGGCUUAACCCUGGACCUGCAGUGGGUACGGGCAGACUGGAGUGCGGUAGGGGAGAUCGGAAUUCCUGGUGUAGCGGUGAAAUGCGCAGAUAUCAGGAGGAACACCGGUGGCGAAGGCGGGUCUCUGGGCCGUAACUGACGCUGAGGAGCGAAAGCGUGGGGAGCGAACAGG
rnacentral:rRNA from 1 species